UACGAAGGGGGCUAGCGUUGCUCGGAAUUACUGGGCGUAAAGCGCACGUAGGCGGCUUUCUAAGUCGGGGGUGAAAUCCUGGAGCUCAACUCCAGAACUGCCUUCGAUACUGGAGCUUGAGUCGGGAGAGGUGAGUGGAACUGCGAGUGUAGAGGUGAAAUUCGUAGAUAUUGCAAGAACACCAGUGGCGAAGGCGGCUCACUGGCCCGGUACUGACGCUGAGGUGCG
rnacentral:rRNA from 1 species